rnacentral:rRNA from 1 species
UAAGGAAUAUUGCGCAAUGGGCGAAAGCCUGACGCAGCGACGCCGCGUGGGGGAUGAAGGUCUUCGGAUUGUAAACCCCUUUCGGGAGGGAAGAUGGAAUGGGGUAACCCAUUCGGACGGUACCUCCAGAAGCAGCCACGGCUAACUUCGUGCCAGCAGCCGCGGUAAUACGAAGGUGGCAAGCGUUAUUCGGAUUUACUGGGCGUACAGGGAGCGUAGGCGGUUCGGUAAGCCCUCUGUGAAAUCUUCAGGCUUAACCUGGAAAAGUCGGAGGGGACUGCUGGGCUAGAGGACGGGAGAGGAGCGCGGAAUUCCCGGUGUAGCGGUGAAAUGCGUAGAGAUCGGGAGGAAGGCCGGUGGUGAAGGCGGCGCUCUGGAACGUUUCUGACGCUGAGGCUCGAAAGCGUGGGGAGCAAACAGGAUUAGAUACCCAAGUAGUCCCUGAGCGGGCUGGCAAGGCGCAU